rnacentral:misc_RNA from 1 species
GAUGAAGAACGUAGCGAAAUGCGAUAAGUAAUGUGAAUUGCAGAAUUCAGUGAAUCAUCGAAUCUUUGAACGCACAUUGCGCCCCCUGGUAUUCCGGGGGGCAUGCCUGUUCGAGCGUCAUUUCAACCCUCAAGCUCUGCUUGGUAUUGGGCGUCGCCGGGGAGUCUCUCCGGCGUGCCUCAAAGCCAUCGGCGGUGGUGCCUUUCUCUAAGCGUGGUAGAAUUUUUAUUCGCUUCUGAGUUGGGCUUCGCCUGCCGGACAAACCGGGCCCUCGCGGCCCACCUUCUCAGGUUGACCUCGGAUCAGGUAGGGAUACCCGCUGAACUUAAGCAUAUCAAUAAGCGGAGGA